UACGAAGGGGGCGAGCGUUGUUCGGAAUUACUGGGCGUAAAGGGCGCGCAGGCGGCUCUGAAAGUCAGAUGUGAAAGCCCCGGGCUUAACUUGGGAAUUGCGCUUGUGACUGGCGUGCUGGAGUGUGGCAGAGGGAGGUGGAAUUCCACGUGUAGCAGUGAAAUGCGUAGAGAUGAUGGAGGAACACCGAUGGCGAAGGCAGCCUCCUGGGCCAGCACUGACGCUCAUGCACGAAAGCGUGGGGAGCAAACAGG
rnacentral:rRNA from 1 species